rnacentral:misc_RNA from 1 species
GGCUUUCACCGUAGAUGAUUUUCAUGGCAAGAAUGGACGCAAAUAAAGUGAUAAAGGGUCUGGUUGUUUGCAAAAGCUCACUGAAAAAGGAAGAUAAAGGGAGGCUGGGGUUUAGUUUAGUUGUUGUUUGCUGGCAGUUUUGGGAAUUUGAGGUGGUGGUUUGGCCGGGAGUCACUUGUUGUUGUUUGCUGCAGCUAAAGAGAGCUGCUGACAACAGCAGCGAAGAGGAGAAGCGUUGGGUUAACUUUUCACCAGAAAAAAUGGAAAAAGAAAUGGGUUAGAGCAACCGGGUGCUGGGGUUU